GACAGAGGGUGCGAACGUUGUUCGGAAUUACUGGGCGUAAAGGGCUCGUAGGCGGCCAACUAAGUCACACGUGAAAUCCCCAGGCUUAACCUGGGAACUGCGUGUGAUACUGGAUGGCUUGAAUUCGGGAGAGGGAUGCAGAAUUCCAGGUGUAGCGGUGAAAUGCGUAGAUAUCUGGAGGAAUACCGGUGGCGAAGGCGGCAUCCUGGACCGGCAUUGACGCUGAGGCGCGAAAGCCAGGGGAGCGAACGGG
rnacentral:rRNA from 1 species